CUCCAAUAGCGUAUAUUAAAGUUGUUGCAGUUAAAAAGCUCGUAGUUGAAUUUCGGGAUCAAAUUGUCGGUCGUGCCUCGGUACGUACUGGCGUUAUUGGUUCCUCCCUUCUGAAGAACCGCGAUGUCAUUAAUUUGGUGUCGCGGGGAAUCAGGACUGUUACUUUGAAAAAAUUAGAGUGUUUAAAGCAGGCUCGGGCUUGAAUACAUUAGCAUGGAAUAAUGAAAUAGGACGUUUGAUUCUAUUUUGUUGGUUUCUAGGAUCGACGUAAUGAUUAAUAGGGAUAGUUGGGGGCAUUAGUAUUCAAUUGUCAGAGGUUAAAUUCUUGGAUUUAUUGAAGACUAACUACUGCGAAAGCAUUUGCCAAGGAUGUUUUCAUUAAUCAAGAACGAAAGUUAGGGGAUCGAAGACGAUCAGAUACCGUCGUAGUCUUAACCAUAAACUAUGCCGACUAGGGAUCGGAUGAUGUUAAUUUUUUAAUGACUCAUUC
rnacentral:rRNA from 1 species